UAUGACUCUCGGCAAUGGAUAUUUUGGCUCUUGCAUCGAUGAAGAACGCAGCGAAAUGCGAUACGUGGUGUGAAUUGCAGAAUUCCGUGAACCAUCGAAUUUUUGAACGCAAGUUGCGCCCGAGGCCAAUUGGCUAAGGGCACGUCCGCCUGGGCGUCAAGCAUUACAUCGCUUCAUUCGGCACCAAUUGCACAAUAUUGUGUUGCGGUGCCGAUUCGAAUGCGGAGAGUGGCCCUUCGCGCACACUUGUGCGACGGGUUGAAGA
rnacentral:rRNA from 1 species